GUGCUUGCUUCAGCAGCACACACACUAAAACUGGAACGAUACGGAGAUUAGCAUGGCCCCUGCGCAGAGAUGACACAUAAAUUUGAGAAGUGUUCCAUAUUUAA
ensembl:snRNA U6 U6 spliceosomal RNA